rnacentral:rRNA from 1 species
UACGGAGGGGGCUAGCGUUGUUCGGAAUUACUGGGCGUAAAGCGCGCGUAGGCGGAUCGGAAAGUCAGGGGUGAAAUCCCGGGGCUCAACCCCGGAACUGCCCUUGAAACUCCCGGUCUUGAGUUCGAGAGAGGUGGGUGGAAUUCCGAGUGUAGAGGUGAAAUUCGUAGAUAUUCGGAGGAACACCAGUGGCGAAGGCGGCCCACUGGCUCGAUACUGACGCUGAGGUGCGAAAGCGUGGGGAGCAAACAGG